UGUCAAUCAUCAUCCGGGACAAAUGACCCUGUUGGUGGAGCAGAAGUGGAGUUAUAUCAACAUACAACUUCAACUUCUACCACUCCGUCUGAUCCAGGAUCCCAGCAGUCAUUGGCAGUGAUUCCUUCUGGACCAUGUGUCUCCUCUGGGAGUCCAGGCGCGACUCCAUCUCUCGUCUCACCUCCUCCAACUUACACAGCAUCUCGGCCCUGCAGCAAACAUGAAUGAAACCAACCGUAGGAUUUGCACAGCUUUGACUGACAUCAGUGUUUAAUGGAGUUGCCAUGACGAAGGCCCCACCUGCUGCUGCUGCUGCUGCUGCCCCUCUCACAGGUGUCACAUUACCUUUACAGUUUAAUCUACAACUGCUAUCAAUGCAAUGCAUAUAAAAGAAGAAGAAGCUGCCACUGAGUGGGGGGUGUCUGUCGUACCGG